rnacentral:rRNA from 1 species
ACAGCAGCCGCCGCGGGAAAACAGAGGGUGCGAGCGUUAAUCGGAUUUACUGGGCGUAAAGCGUGCGUAGGCGGCUUCUUAAGUCGGAUGUGAAAUCCCUGAGCUUAACUUAGGAAUUGCAUUCGAUACUGGGAAGCUAGAGUAUGGGAGAGGAUGGUAGAAUUCCAGGUGUAGCGGUGAAAUGCGUAGAGAUCUGGAGGAAUACCGAUGGCGAAGGCAGCCAUCUGGCCUAAUACUGACGCUGAGGUACGAAAGCAUGGGGAGCAAACAGGAUUAGAUACCCCUGUAGUCCCUGUCUCUUAUAC